AAUCUUACCUGGCAUGGAGAUACCAUGAUCACGAAGGUGGUUUUCCCAGGGCGAGGCUCACCCAUUGCACUCCGGAUGUGCUGACCCUGCGAUUUCCCCAAAUGUGGGAAACUCAACUGCAUAAUUUGUGGUGGUGGGGGACUGCGUCCGCGCUCUCCCCUG
rnacentral:snRNA from 1 species